UGCGCAGGCGGGCUAAUAAGUCAGUGGUGAAAUCUUUCGGCUUAACCGGGAAACUGCCAUUGAUACUGUUAGUCUUGAGUUCGGUUGAGGUAGGCGGAAUGUGUAAUGUAGCGGUGAAAUGCUUAGAUAUUACACAGAACACCAAUUGCGUAGGCAGCUUACUAGACCGACACUGACGCUGAGGCACGAAAGCGUGGGGGGCGAACAGGAUUAGAUACCCUGGUAGUCC
rnacentral:rRNA from 1 species